UACGGGGGGGGCAAGCGUUGUUCGGAAUUACUGGGCGUAAAGGGCUCGUAGGUGGCCAACUAAGUCAGACGUGAAAUCCCCCGGCUUAACCGGGGAACUGCGUCUGAUACUGGAUGGCUUGAGUUCGGGAGAGGGAUGCGGAAUUCCAGGUGUAGCGGUGAAAUGCGUAGAUAUCUGGAGGAAUACCGGUGGCGAAGGCGGCAACCUGGACCGGCAUUGACGCUGAGGAGCGAAAGCUA
rnacentral:rRNA from 1 species